CAGCCGCCACGGUAAUACGUAGGGUGCGAGCGUUAAUCGGAAUUACUGGGCGUAAAGGGAGCGCAGGCGGUUUAGUAAGUCUGAAGUUAAAGGCAUUGGCUCAACCAUAGUACACUUUGGAAACUGUUUAACUUGAGUGCAGAAGGGGAGAGUGGAAUUCCAUGUGUAGCGGUGAAAUGCGUAGAUAUAUGGAGGAACACCGGUGGCGAAAGCGGCCCUCUGGCUUGUAACUGACGCUGAGGCUCGAAAGCGUGGGGAGCAAACAGGAUUAGAUACCCCGGUAGUCCCUGUCUCUUAUACA
rnacentral:rRNA from 1 species